GAUGAACGCUGGCGGCGUGCCUAAUACAUGCAAGUCGAGCGAACAGACGAGGAGCUUGCUCCUUCGACGUUAGCGGCGGACGGGUGAGUAACACGUAGGUAACCUACCUAUAAGACUGGGAUAACUUCGGGAAACCGGAGCUAAUACCGGAUAAUAUUUCGAACCGCAUGGUUCGAUAGUGAAAGAUGGCUUUGCUAUCACUUAUAGAUGGACCUGCGCCGUAUUAGCUAGUUGGCAAGGUAACGGCUUACCAAGGCAACGAUACGUAGCCGACCUGAGAGGGUGAUCGGCCACACUGGAACUGAGACACGGUCCAGACUCCUACGGGAGGCAGCAGUAGGGAAUCUUCCGCAAUGGGCGAAAGCCUGACGGAGCAACGCCGCGUGAGUGAUGAAGGUCUUCGGAUCGUAAAACUCUGUUAUUAGGGAAGAACAAACGUGUAAGUAACUGUGCACGUCUUGACGGUACCUAAUCAGAAAGCCACGGCUAACUACGUG
rnacentral:rRNA from 1 species